rnacentral:rRNA from 2 species
CUUAGCGGCGGACGGGUGAGUAACACGUGGGCAACCUGCCCUUGAGACGGGGAUAACUCCGGGAAACCGGAGCUAAUACCGGAUAACACAUAUCUUCGCAUGAGGAUAUGUUAGAAGGUGGCUUUUAGCUACCACUCAAGGAUGGGCCCGCGGCGCAUUAGCUAGUUGGUGAGGUAACGGCUCACCAAGGCGACGAUGCGUAGCCGACCUGAGAGGGUGAUCGGCCACACUGGGACUGAGACACGGCCCAGACUCCUACGGGAGGCAGCAGUAGGGAAUCUUCCGCAAUGGACGAAAGUCUGACGGAGCAACGCCGCGUGAGUGAUGAAGGUUUUCGGAUCGUAAAGCUCUGUUGUUAGGGAAGAACAAGUACCUGUUAAAUAAGCAGGUACCUUGACGGUACCUAACCAGAAAGCCACGGCUAACUACGUGCCAGCAGCCGCGGUAAUACGUAGGUGGCAAGCGUUGUCCGGAAUUAUUGGGCGUAAAGCGCGCGCAGGCGGUUCCUUAAGUCUGAUGUGAAAGCCCACGGCUCAACCGUGGAGGGUCAUUGGAAACUGGGGAACUUGAGUGCAGAAGAGGAGAGCGGAAUUCCACGUGUAGCGGUGAAAUGCGUAGAGAUGUGGAGGAACACCAGUGGCGAAGGCGGCUCUCUGGUCUGUAACUGACGCUGAGGCGCGAAAGCGUGGGGAGCGAACAGGAUUAGAUACCCUGGUAGUCCACGCCGUAAACGAUGAGUGCUAAGUGUUAGAGGGUUUCCGCCCUUUA